GAAAAGAGAGUGGUUCUCAAAAAAAGAGAGAGAAAAGAGAGCGAGCGAGCAGCUGUAGCGAGAGACAAAAGUAGCGAUGCCAGUGACCUAAACCGCAUCUCCCCUUCUCCAGAGAGAGAGAGAAGAUGAGAGGGAGAAGAAGUAAGGAAGGGAGGGUGAACGAGAGGAAAGAGGAGAGGGAGGUGCGGCUCCGCCGCCGCCUUCUCUCCCUGCCUCUUCCGCGGUGGUCGAGGUGCAGCAGCGUGGGCGCCGCCAGGUUCUCGAUCCAGUCGGAUCUGGCGCCGGUCGCCGUCCCCGUCGCCUCGUCUUCUUUCUUUCCAACCCACCGCCUCCGAGCUUCUGCUCCUGCUACGUCUCCUUCUCCCUUCCCGCCGCGGGAGCAGUCAUCGCUGCGCCCUCGCCCCCGCACGCCGUCCUUCCGCGCGCCUCACCAGCCACCACCAGCAGCAGCGUAGGGAGCCAAUGGGAAGGGGGUCCAAGGCCAAAUCCUGCUUCAGCGGAGGCCAUGACUGAGGCGGAGGGGGAGCUCCCCAAAGCCAUCGUGGAUCGUGCUGUGGCGGCGUGGAGCAGGGGAGGAUUUGGGCGAUGGGCAUGAGGGAAGGAGCAGCGAGGUCAGAGUUCCAGGCGGUGCCGGCCGUCGUCACAUGUCCCCAGUCUAGAUCUGAGAAAAAAAAGAGAAGUGGGUGAAUCUUGAGGAAGAGCUUGGUGAAGAACAAGGUGUUCCUAAUGGCAAAGGUGGUAAUCAACGAUGAGAAAAAAAGGGACCGAGAUUGGAUUUCUGCUAGAAAGGAAGCAGGUCAACCAUGCAGUAUUAGAUGAACUGGAUUAUGCAAUGAUCAGUUGAUUCAGAGCUCUUGUAUCUUGAGUGGCAUUCACCUUUGGGCAAUUCAAGCGACCACAGGGCGAGACUACCAGCUGGUGAAGGAGAGGAUAUGUAUUCGGCGUGUCCUGAAGAGGUAGUCCACGAACCGGCAAUGGAGGAAAUAAGGUAGAGACGACAAUAGCAGCAAGUACGUCAAGUGCUAGGGAUGUGGAUAUGGUGUGGCAUAAAGAGGUAGUCCACAAACCUCUGCUAGGUGCUCCUCUCUCACCUCUUGCAUCCUCUGGGGAUAUUCCUUCAUUAUUUGGUUACCUGUCAAUGCUCGGUCCUAUUUCCCACCUUGUGCUUUGACUUCUUGCAUUUUUUCCGUCUAAGUUAUUAGGCUACUGCUGCCUGGUUUGCCCAUGAUGAACCACUAAUUAUGAUGCACCGCUGGCUGGUCUGCCUUUUUUAUGCUUUUUUAGUGACAACAUUCAGACUUAAUGUUUAUUACUUCAUUUCAGAGUUUUAAUUAAGACAUCGCAGUCAAUUUAUAUGGUCUUCUGAAGUUUCACCUUCCCUUUGUCAUAUUGGUUUGAUCAAAUCAAUGGGAAGCCGGCAUUACUUUGAUGCUGAUCUUCUUGCUCAGUAUAAGCCAACAAUGGAGAAACUGACCAGGCUAUCUUUCAUGAUCAGUUACACACCAAGCCUAUAUUUUUGCUGCUUCUACAUGUCGUUGUGAUGGUCAUUCGGCCCAUUUUCUUGAAUCUGCACUACAACGAGAGAUCUUGGCUGCUUCUUUGUGGCUUCCAAACUUGAAAUGUUUGUUUGGAAGUUAGUUUAGUUUUUUGUUGUAGAUUCACAGCUUCUCACAUGUACCGUCCUCUUAGACCUUCAGAUUUCCAAAGAAACUAAAUGAAGAUAUGGUGGUAUGGUCUCAAUAGUACAACUUAAAGCCUUCCAUGCUUUAUAUUCUCUGAAAUUUGCUCUUGAAGAAUUAUGUAUC